UGUGGUGCGUCUUAUCCGUGAAAACGAGCUCACUCUCUCUCUCUCUCUCUCUCUUCCAAGCAAAGAGACAAGAAGAUAGUCAUCUUCUCCCUACUCUCUUUGUCUCUCGCUCGCUCUCUGAAAGCCUUUCUUCUCCCGGGAUUGACUUUACUUUGAGACACUGGGUUUGGGGGAGAAAACCCAUCACUCAAUUUCCUUCUUCAGCAUAGCAGAAGAUGAAUAUAGAAGGGAUCUAACAAUUGACAGGUAGGUUUUGAAAUGGGAUUUGAGUUGGCGAAAUAGGACAACCGAACAUCACUUCCAAAUGCUAAGAAAAAGAUGAUGACCAUUGCUUUUAGCAUCAAUCAUAGUCCUCUAAAUAUCAACCAAGAAGAAUCUCUGCAACUUCUUCAAUUAAACGUACAAAAAAAGGGGAAAGGCCCUGCAUCUGUUGCUGCUGCCUGCUAAGUUUGCCAAGGGGCUAUUGGAGAAUUAAGCAUAGACAGCUGGAAUGAGAGAUGCUGAUCAAGCAAAGGAGCGAGACAAGCGAGGGUGGUUCAUCGCAUGAUCAAAAAUGCAUAUUUUUAAUUCAUGGCAAGUAUUUUUUAUAUGAAACAAGCUAGAUGUAAACCAAAAAUUGGUGUUAUGUUCUGUGUUGUUUUGUUUGGUAAGGAAAUACAAUGUUCUUGACCAAAAAACAGAAGCAGUACAAUAAAAAAAAUUUCAUUCUAUAGAUAUAAAUUUUAUUUUUGUGUC